GGCACAAUGGCCGAGUGGUCUAAGGCGUGUGACUCAAGCAAUCCCGUGUAGUUUUCACUCGAUUUACACGGUCAAGCUUGCCCGAUCCGGGUUUCUCAUCAUCGUAUGAUGGCAGGGGUUCGAAUCCCCUUUGUGUCA